rnacentral:rRNA from 1 species
GAUGAACGCUGGCGGCGUGCCUAAUACAUGCAAGUCGAGCGAAUGGAUUAAGAGCAUGCUCUUAUGAAGUUAGCGGCGGACGGGUGAGUAACACGUGGGUAACCUGCCCAUAAGACUGGGAUAACUCCGGGAAACCGGGGCUAAUACCGGAUAACAUUUUGAACCGCAUGGUUCGAAAUUGAAAGGCGGCUUCGGCUGUCACUUAUGGAUGGACCCGCGUCGCAUUAGCUAGUUGGUGGGGUAACGGCUCACCAAGGCAACGAUGCGUAGCCGACCUGAGGGGGUGAUCGGCCACACUGGGACUGAGACACGGCCCAGACUCCUACGGGAGGCAGCAGUAGGGAAUCUUCCGCAAUGGACGAAAGUCUGACGGAGCAACGCCGCGUGAGUGAUGAAGGCUUUCGGGUCGUAAAACUCUGUUGUUAGGGAAGAACAAGUGCUAGUUGAAUAAGCUGGCACCUUGACGGUACCUAACCAGAAAGCCACGGCUAACUACGUGCCAGCCGCCGCCGUAA